rnacentral:lncRNA from 1 species
AUGAGCAGUCCGAGCAACUCCCCUGCCAAAGGGGCUCCCGCGCCCCAGUCCACGCCUGCCCCGGAGCCCACGCCGGCCUCGGAGCCCACACCGGCCCCGGAGUCCACGCCGGCCUCGGAGCCCACGCCGGCCCCUGAGCCCACGCCGGAGCCCCCGCCGGAGCCUUCGCAGGUCCCCGCGCCCUCGCCCGUGGCCGCUGGCAAGACGCACUUGGUAUACCCGGAGGUGAAUCCCAACCCGCUGCUGCACUCGAACUUCUGCUCCCUGCUGUUUCUCAGGUGGAUAAACCCCUUUUUCCUAUUUGGUCACAAAUGGAGAUUGAAAGAAAAUGAGAUACACUCAGUGCAUCCAGAAGAUUGCUCCCAGCACCUUGGAGAAGAGCUGCAAGGGUACUGGAAGCAAGAAGUUGAGAGAGCUGAGAAAAAUGGACAAAAGCCUUCUUUAAAGAAAGCAAUCAUAAAGUGCUACUGGAAAUCCUGUUUGUUAUCUGCAAUUUUUAUAUUUUUUGAGGAAUGCACCAGAGUAGUUCUGCCCUUACUUUUGGGGAAAAUGAUUAGUUACUUUGAAGAGCCCGAAGUUCCUGGUGCUUUAUAUGAUGCCUAUGUCUGCGCUGCAGUGCUGAGUGCCUGUGUGCUCCUGUGGGCCAUUCUGCACCAUUUGUACCUCAAUCAUUUUCAGUGUGCAGGGAUGAGGCUUAGAGUGGCCACAUCCCAUAUGAUCUACCACAAGGCACUUCGCCUCAGUAACUCGGCCAUGAGGAAGACCACCACAGGUCAGAUAGUCAACCUGCUGUCCAAUGAUGUGAAAAGAUUUGAUCAGGUAACAAUGUUCUUGCACUACCUGUGGGUGGGGCCGCUACAGGCUGUUGCAGUGACCGCCCUGCUCUGUAUGGAAAUAGGAAUAUCAUGUCUUGCUGGGAUGGCAGUUCUCAUCAUUCUUCUGCUUUUGCAAAGCUGCUUUGGGAAAUUGUUUUCAUCACUCCGGAGUAAGACCGCAGCUCUCACAGACAACCGGAUCAAGACCAUGAGUGAAGUCAUAACUGGCAUCAGAACAAUAAAAAUGUAUGCUUGGGAAAAGUCAUUUACAGACUUUAUUACUAGAUUGAGAAGGAAUGAAAUUUCCAAGAUUCUGAAAAGUUCCUACCUUAGAGGAACAAAUUUGGCAAUUUUUUUUGCUGCCAGCAAAAUCAUGAUUUUUAUCACCUUCAUCAUUGCUGUGGUCCUUGACAACCCGAUCACAGCCAGCCAAGUGUUUCUGGUGGUGAUGCUGUUCGAGACUGUGAGGUUUACAGGCACCCUCUACUUCCCCAUGGCCAUCGAGAAGGUGUCAGAGGCUGUUGUCAGCAUCAACAGAAUCAAGGACUUCCUGUUACUCGAAGAGAUACUACCACAUGACCAUCAGCUGGUGCCAUCAGAUGGUGAAACAAUUGUGGACGUGCAAGAUUUAACUGCUUUUUGGGAUAAGGAAUCAGGAACCCCAGCCCUACAAGGCCUUUCCUUUACUGUCAGACGUGGUGAACUGUUAGCUGUGGUUGGACCUGUGGGCGCAGGAAAGUCGUCACUGUUAAGCGCUUUGCUGCGAGAGAUGCCCUUGAUCCAGGGGAAUGUCAACAUCCACGGGAGGAUCGCGUAUGUUUCUCAGCAGCCCUGGGUGUUUCCAGGAACUGUGAGGAGUAACAUUUUAUUUGGAAAGAAAUAUGAAGAAGACAGAUAUAAAGAAGUAAUAAAGGCGUGUGCUUUGGAAAAGCAUUUGCAGAAUUUGAAGGAAGGAGAUAAAACUGUGAUAGGAGAUGGAGGAACCCCGCUGAGUGAAGGACAGAAAACCCGGGUCAGCCUUGCCAGAGCCGUGUAUCAAGAUGCAGACAUCUACCUCCUGGACGAUCCGCUUAGCGCAGUGGACGUAGAAGUCAGCAGACACUUGUUCGAACAGUGUAUUUGCCAAGCAUUGAAAGAUAAGAUCACAAUUUUAGUGACUCAUCAGUUGCAGUACCUAAAAGCUGCAAGUGAGAUUGUGACAUUGGAAAAUGGUGAAAUGGUGCAAAAGGGGCCCUACACUGAGUUCCUCCUGAAAUCCGGAAUAGAUUCUGGCUCCCUUUCAAAGAAGACUGAGGAGUCUGAACCAUCUUUCAAGUCUCCAGACCAGCCUCAAGAGUCAUCCACACUGUCAGUGGAAGAUGUGGCCCCAGAGGACCAUGAUACUGAGGAUAUACUGGUUAUACUACCCCUGGAGGACUAUUCAAAGAGACAAGUUGGUUGUAAGACAUGCAAGAAUUACUUCACAGCUGGUGCUCACUGGUUUAUCAUCAUUUUCCUUAUUCUAAUGAACAUCGCAGCUCAGGUUGCCUACGUCCUGCAGGAUUGGUGGCUUUUAGACUGGGCGAAUGAACAUGACAUCAAUGUUAGUAGACAAGGAAAUGAAACGAAGAUGAUCGAUCUGAACUGGUACUUAGUAGUUUAUUCAGGUUUAAAUGUAUUUACCAUACUUUUCGGCAUCACAAGAUCUCUGUUGUUAUUCUACAUCCUUGUUCAGUCUUCACAAAUUUUGCACAACAAAAUGGUAGAGUCCAUUUUGAGAUCUCUGGUAUUGUUCUUCGAUAGAAACUCAAUAGGAAGAAUUUUAAAUCGUUUCUGCAAAGACAUUGGGCGUAUGGAUGACUUACUGCCCCUGACAUUUCAAGAUUUAAUCCAGACAUUUCUACUUGUGAUUGGCGUGGUGAUCGUGAUGGUGGCUAUGAUUCCUUGGACUGCGAUACCCCUGGCUCUCCUUGGCAUCAUUUUCUUCCUGCUUCAGCUCUAUUUCCUAAAUACAUCAGGAAAUGUCAAAGGCCUGGAAUGUGCAAAACAAAGCCCAGUGUUUUCCCACUUAGCAUCUUCUCUCCAGGGACUCCGGACCAUCCGGGCAUACAAAGCCGAACAAAAGUUUCAGAAACUGUUUGAGAAGUGCCAGGACUUGCACUCAGAGAGCUGGUUCAUGCUUUUGACCAUGUCCCAGUGUUUUGCCAUGUGUCUGGAUGUUGUCUGUGCCGUCUUGGUCAUCGUUGUUGCCGUUGGGGCCCUGAUUCUGCAGGAAUCUUGGACUCCUGGGCAGAUUGGCCUGGUCCUGUCUCUCACCCUCACACUCAUGAGGAUGUUCCAGUGGUGUGUCAGGCAAAGCACCGAAGUGGAGAACAUGAUGAUGUCAGCAGAAAGGGUGAUUGAAUAUACAGAACUUGAGAAAGAAGGACCAUGGGAACUUGACUUUCGUCCACCAGUAUACUGGCCCGACAGCGGAAUAAUUGCCUUUAACAAUGUGAAUUUCAAGUACAGCCCAGACGGGCCUCUGGUAUUGAAGGACCUGACCGUAAGCACUGAAUCAAAAGAAAAGGUUUGCAUUGUGGGAAAAACAGGAGCUGGAAAAAGUUCCCUCAUUGCUGCACUUUUCAGAUUCUCUGACUUCCAAGGUACAAUUUCGAUUGAUAAAAAUUUGACAACCAGUAUGGGACUUUAUGAUUUAAGGAAGAAAAUGUCAGUUGUACCUCAGGAACCAGUUUUAUUCAUUGGAACAAUGAAGGAAAAUCUGGAUCCCUUUAAUGACCAUAAGGAGGAGGAUCUAUGGAAUGCCUUAGAAGAGGUACAACUUAAAGAAACCAUCCAAGGUCUUCCUGGUAAAAUGGAAACUGAAUUAGCAGAAUCAGGAUCAAACUUGAGUGUUGGACAGAGACAACUGUUGUGCCUUGCCAGGGCUCUUCUCAGAAAAAAUAAGAUACUGAUUAUGGAUGAAGCCACAUCAAACGUGGAUCCAAGAACUGAUGAGUUAAUACGAAAAAUAAUCCAUGGGACAUUUGUUCAGUGCACUGUGGUAACCAUCACAAACAGAUUGAGCAGCGUUGUUGACAGUGACAGGAUAAUGGUCUUGGAUUCAGGGAAACUGGAAGAAUAUGAUAAGCCACAUGUUUUGCUGCACAAUAAAAACAGUCUAUUUUACAAGAUGGUACAACAUCUGGGUGAGACCGAGGCUAAUGCUCUCAUUGAAAAAGCAAAACAGGCGCACUUCAAAAGAAAAUAGCCAGAUAGCACUCACAGUGACCAG